UACGUAGGGACCGAGCGUUGUCCGGAUUCAUUGGGCGUAAAGAGCUCGUAGGCGGCUGUUCAAGUCGAACGUGAAAACUCGGAGCUCAACUCCGAGCCUGCGUUCGAUACUGGACGGCUAGAGUCUGGUAGGGGGAUCUGGAAUUCCUGGUGUAGCGGUGGAAUGCGCAGAUAUCAGGAGGAGCACCGGUGGCGAAGGCGGGAUCCUGGGCCAGUACUGACGCUGAGAUACGAAAGCGUGGGGAUCAAACAGG
rnacentral:rRNA from 1 species